CUGGGUGGGCGACAGGUGCAGCGGACCCCGGGCGGGCGGAGGAGCGCGGGGUGGGGUGCUGCGGAGGAGGGCUCGAGCGGGGACGGUGCAGGGCCUGGGCGGGCGACAGGUGCAGCAUGACCCCGGCCUGCCGGUCGCCCCGCCGUCUCGGAGCCCAGAGCACGUGCCCCGCGGUAAGCACCGUCACGCAUUGAGUAACUUAACCGUGGUAAACCGCGAGUGGGCACUGUUGGGAGGAAAUCGAGACUGUAGGGGUUCAGCGUCUUCCCCAAGUUCACACGGCGAUGAAGGAGCCAGAAUUUGAGUUCAGGAAUGCUUUAUCAAGAAGCUGAAUUGUAAUCGGCUUUUGAAAGACUUGAGCUCCUUUUGGGGUCCAGGAGUUGUCUCUUCCAGCUCUGCAAGUGUCUGCAUUUCUGGUUCCUUCUGUCCUUUCAUUCUUGCUUGCAUACCGAGCCAGUGACUUGGCAGUUGCGACCACAGCAAAGGACACACUGAAAAAAAUAAGAUUUUAUUUUAUUGAUCAGAGACAGAGAGAGAGGCAGAGACAGAGGCAGAGGGAGAAGCAGGCUCCAUGCAGGGAGCCCGAUGCGGGACUCGAUCCCGGGUCUCCAGGAUCAGGCCCCAGGCCAAAGGCAGGCGCUAAAUCACUGAGCCAACCCAGGCUGCCCUGAAAAAAAUUUUUUUAAAGGAUUUAUUGAUUCAUUUGAGAGAGUGUGAGUGGGGGAGGGGUGCAGGGAGUGAGAAUCUCAGGCAGACUCCCCACUGAACACAGAGCCCCUGGGGCUCCAUCCCACAACCCUCAGAUCCUGACCUGAAUGAGGCCAAGGGUCCGAUGUUUAAAUCCCAAGGACACACCAAAGUUUAAGAAGCCAAGAGCUCCACAGGAGCUCAAGGAUAAUCCAUAGGGGAGAAAAGGAAAGGGAAUUAGGAAAGAAUGAGAACAGAUGAGAGUGUAAAGUGCAGCUGAGAUGACGUGGGAAAGUGUCUUCCUUAUAGGGGGACUAGGGGGCACUGGUGCAUUUAGUACCAGAAGCUUUAGGACAGCAGUGAGGAGAGGGCAGGAAAGUGUGCCCUGAGUUGCCGGGUGAAUGGGACAGGAAAGAAUGAGGACUGUGGUCAACUCUAUCCCAGAGGAUGAGCGGAGAAAGAGCCGAAAAGAGGAGAGAGGAGUACACGACUAAGGGAAAUGCUGUAGAACACUAACUUGUUUAUAUGCUGCGGGGCGGGGAGGGGGGAAGAGGGGGAGCUCACAAGGCCCCUGAGAUAGGAGAGGAGAGCCAAGGUCCUGCAGGUGAUGAAGAGCAAGGGUGGGUGGGGGACGUCGGAAGGUAGGGGGCAGGUUUCCUUCUCCAGAUCUGCAGGGAGGGCUGUGUGGAUGGGAGCUGGAGGGCGCCCAGGCACGGCUCACAGGUGAUUCGCCAAUUAGUAGUUAGAGGGUUUGUGGUUCUGGAUGGAUGUAGUGAGUGUCGUGGAGUCUGAGACAAGUCAGAGAAGAUAGUGCCCACGUGGCUGGGGAUAGAGGCCUAGAAAGAACGGAGGGCCCGUUGCUGAGGCAACUAAAGGCGCUGUGUGGUGCAACACGGAGCCACCACCACGCUCUUCCUCGAGGGCUGCUCCAACCUGCCGCAGGAAGUCGUCAUUACCAAGUAGGAAGCCAAAAAAUUCAUCUGACUCCCUUUAUUGCGAUACUCGCUCUACUGUGGCGUUCUGGAACCAAGCCAGCAGUAUCUUGGAGAGCCCAGCAGAAGGGUUGUUCAGUCUGUUCCUGCUGCCAUUCAAGGAAGACGCACCAGCUCUGCCACCAGGUGCCCCAAGACUCCGCCAACUGGUCUGGCUGCAGCCAAGUCACGGGGAAGGAUGCUUAUUUAAAAUAAAUACCUAAAGGCUAAGGUACAUGUUCCUCUUAAAAACUAUAUAUUCAGAGUAUUUUAGCAACUGCAAAUGGUCGGAAUGAGCCUCUCCAGUUUCUUCAUGGACUUCUGGAUUGCAGCGACUUCUCUAGCAGGCGCACCACCUGGCUUAGUCUGUGGUUAGUAGGAAUCAGGAACGGCCCUCUAAGGCUUUCAGUGCUUGCAGAGGAUGCUGGAUAGAAGGGGGGGGUCUUGUUGAGCAGGAGCCGAGGCACUGCACCUGGGCCAGAGCCCUGCAGCAGCCCCAACACAGUGGGUGAAGAUAACACAGACGAGCAGCGAGGAGCACGGCCGGAGCAGCACCUAACACGGGAGUCCCUCACGGAGACGGCAGAGGGAGGGGACUCCCAGGUGGUAGGUGGUGUGCUUGAAGGAAGGUCAGAGGGGGGAUGUGAGCCUCUUCCUUCUGACAAGUCUAUCCUGGGACUGUUUCCUUGUGAGCUUGAAAACAUGCUGCUGACAUAGCAAACUUGAAGCGGUCGAGCUAUGGGGACCCAAGUGGAUACGGGAAAAGUCCCGGAGCUUCGUGUCCCCGGGGUUUUCUCCACUCCUAUCUGGCCCCGGGGCUGGCUCAGUAUACCCACCCCUGGCAGAUGGGAAAUCCACUAUCACCAGGGUGGUGGGCACAUCGACUAGGGUCAGAGUGCGGAGACGCCAAGAAACCAAAAAGGCCUGGAAACCAGGGUUCUGCAGCCACCAGAAGAAGCCGUGAGCCCCGCUGGCCAAGUAGCCAGCACAGUACCGGUUCUCCACGGCGACGGGCCAGGUUGGGUGUGUGCUCAACAAGAUAGGGGAAGGGGGGCAGGGCUCUGAGGGAUUUCCACUGGACAGAAAGGGAUGACUCUGUAAUGUGGAAAAAGGUUUUUUGAAGAAAUUACUUGACCUCUGAUAAAGUAUUUCUCUACUGUGUAUUUCUCUACAUUUUGAGGUCAGAAUUCACAGCUGUCCGUCCCAGUCUUGUCCAGAAGGCACAUUCCUUUACCUACAAUAUGCGUGUUUCCAUUCACCCGUGGGCCUGGUAUCACUGCUGCACCUCCACCUGCACCACCAGCUGUGCGGCCUGGGAGCUGCCCGACAGUUGUAGAUGUGCCAGGACUCAGGCCCGGGGUUGCCCAGGCAGAGAACCACGUGCCCUGGGUCCCAGGGGCAGAACCCUGGCAUGUGGGCAGGCCAGCGGCUGGUCUGCUGACCCCAGCAGCACGAGCCAGCCCCGUGUCCAGCUGACCCGUGUCCUGUGGCCCUGGGCAGAGCUCCAAUUAAAAGUGUGUAAGCUGCCGUGCCCCUCCCGGGCUUCAGGAGGUGAGGGGACUGUUCCCCCGUGGGCCCUGAGCCUCCAAGAGGCCACCGUGCCCUGGCUCCAGCCCCACCUUCCUGCUCUGUGCACCAGAGAUAUCCCUGAGGUCAGGGCUCCCCGCAACCUAACAGGCACAACCCCUGA